UAGAGUAGAUAAGAUGCGUCAAGUGCCGGAGGAUGGGAAGUUGCCUUCGGACGAAGCGUUUGCGCGGUGUCUUAUCGCUUCCGCUA
rnacentral:ncRNA from 1 species